rnacentral:rRNA from 1 species
CCUACGGGUGGCUGCAGUGAGGAAUAUUGGUCAAUGGGCGGAAGCCUGAACCAGCCAAGUCGCGUGAGGGAAUAAGGCUCUACGGGUCGUAAACCUCUUUUGCCGGGGAGCAAGGGCGGGGACGUGUCCCGGCCCGGAGAGUACCCGGAGAUAAAGCAUCGGCUAACUCCGGGCCAGCAGCCCGGGUAAGCCGGGGGAUGAAAGCGUUAUCCGGUUUUAUUGGGUUUAAAGGGUGCGUGGGCUGUGAGGUAAGUCAGCGGUGAAAUGCCCCCGGUCAAUGGGGUGAAGUGCCAGUGAUAGUGGCGUGCUGGAAUGCGGAUGCGGUGGGAGGAAUGUGUGGUGUAGCGGUGAAAUGCAUAGAGAUCACACAGAACACCGAUUGCGAAGGCAUCUCACGAAUCCGCGAUUGACGCUGAUGCACGAAAGCGUGGGUAUCAAACAGGAUUAGAUACCCUGGUAGUC